rnacentral:tRNA from 1 species
ACCUGGCUGGCUCAGUAGGCAGACCAUGAGACUCUUAAUCUCAGGGUCAAGAGUUCAAGUCCCAUGUCAGGGG